rnacentral:lncRNA from 1 species
GGUGCGCGGAGCUGCGGGAGUUCAGGGAGCGCUGCGGACUGCAGAGCCAGGGGACGUGUCAGCACUUCUGGUUGAGGACACAACUCUGACACCCCAAGGCCUUGUGGACAGCCUCACACCUUAAAGUCAGAGAGGGUGAUGUUGAGACCAAGAUGAAACCAUGCAGAAGAUCCAUCAGGUCACACCAAGCAGAACACAAGGCUGUGUUUAUUUCUCAAGAGUUGUACAGCAUCAGAUGUGAAGUUAAAAUGCAGCAUUACAAUGUACCGCCUUGAACGUGCAAUGUAGAAACUUUUAGAGUAGCACCAGUGUG